UAGGAAAGCAAACAAGAGAACGAAGGCUCCGAAAUGUAGGCAGCAGGAAAGUCGAUUGCGGGGUGGGGCUGGGAGGUAGGUUUUUGUCUUCGUGUUUUUGUCAUGCAUAUUUAUUAACCUUCAAAGAACAGCCGCAAGGAUGGGGUAACCUUACUGCUGGUAACCUUCGCCAAGAACACCUCCUCCUGCCCUGGUGGGUGGGUUCUGGCUGUGACUGCUGCCAACACCUCCAGACGCCUGCUGUGUGCGCCUGCUGCUGCCAUGACCGGUGGCAACCUUCGCCUCUUUCAACGGUCUCCGACGGCAGCCUCGACCCAUAAAUACGAAAGACAGGGUGUACCCACACUGCCCGUUUCGAGGGUGCGCUGUUAUCCCGGGAGGGAGAUUGGAUCGAUUGCCAGAAGAAAAUAAUACAAGGUGCGGGUAUGCUUUGUGUUAUUUUAUAUAAUUUACGAGAAUUCUUCAGUCAGUUAUUAUACAAGUUAAAGCGGAAAGAUGGCC
rnacentral:lncRNA from 1 species